GUUCACUCCAGAAUAUUUUUCUUUGCCCUACGAAAAUCCUACUGGAUUUUACUCGGACAGAAACUGUAAACACUACCUUUACGUACCAGAGUUGUACUUUGACAAUCCCCUGUCAACAUCCAACAGCUUGGUUGCUAAAGUUUGUCUGAAUGAACCGGAAGUUUUCAGAUCAUAUGCCCCCGGCCCCCUCUACGUUCACUUCAUCGCCAAAAUGACAAACUUCACCACAGAAGAAGACAAAAAACAAGGAUUCAACAUAAAAUACGAGCUGUUGAACAAAUGUCCUUGACAAGUGAUCUAGAGAUAAUUGUAGAGUUAGAUGAAUAAAUCAUAUUUUAUUAUCCA